rnacentral:lncRNA from 14 species
AGAGUGACUGAAAACUCAUGUGUUCCUCACUGAGACUGACUGUUGGAAUCAAAACCAUUAUUUUAAAUGGAAAAGAUCCAGAGAACUUGAAAUUUAACUGGGAAACUGCAGAAAUAAAUUAAGGGAGCCCAAGCAAAAUCUCUGCAGAGAGUUCUGGAUGUGGAUCCUCUACUGACAGAAUAAAAAGGAAUAUAGCACAGGUUUUUGCAGAAAACAUUGCCUCAGAUGUCUGAUGCCUGCACAAUCUCUUUUUGCCUCUCUCCUGGAUCAACAGUACUUUUCAGUCAGACUCAUUUUAUUGAGCUCUGCCUGGGGUAGUUAAAAAAGAUUUGAAGAAAAAGCAAUGUAAAAUGAAAUCUGGUGGUUCUGUAAGAAAUGCAUCACCUGGGCCACAAUGGAUUCGAGGGACUACUGAGCACUGCAUGCUGGGAAAAGCAAAUAAUCUGCAAAGGGGUCAUUUGCUAAUUGCAGCAUUUUCCACUGACUACGUGGAAGAGGAAAGAAUUGCAGUUACUGCACUGGAGAUACUGAUGUGCAAGGAAGAAUAUCUCCACAGAAGAGAAGAAUUAUAUGGAAUUACCUGGAAAGGCGCUCAUGGCAAGUGCCAUCUGGAAACACGUGUCAGAGAAGAUCCCAAGACAACUUAUACACUUUUCCAGGCCAUGUGAGCAGUGCCUAUGGGCAGCGUGAGUGCUAUCACAGGUAGCUCUCAUGGUACCACAUCCAUCUUCUCAUCUUCUACUCAGUUGUUCAUGAAAUAAUUACUCCUCUGUUUAUCCAUCCAUCCAUUCAUCCUGUCCUUCUUGGAGCUGGACUUACAU